GGCGCAUAAGUAACAGGUCGUAGACCCGAAACCAGGUGAUCUACCCAUGUCCAGGAUGAAGGUAAGGUAAUACUUACUGGAGGUCCGAACCCACGCACGUUGAAAAGUGCGGGGAUGAGGUGUGGGUAGCGGAGAAAUUCCAAUCGAACUUGGAGAUAGCUGGUUCUCUCCGAAAUAGCUUUAGGGCUAGCCUCGAGGUAAAGAGUCAUGGAGGUAGAGCACUGUUUGGACUAGGGGCCCUUCUCGGGUUACCGAAUUCAGAUAAACUCCGAAUGCCAUGUACUUAUACUCGGGAGUCAGACUGCGAGUGAUAAGAUCCGUAGUCGAAAGGGAAACAGCCCAGACCACCAGUUAAGGUCCCCAAAUAUAUGUUAAGUGGAAAAGGAUGUGGGGUUGCUUAGACAACCAGGAUGUUGGCUUAGAAGCAGCCACCAUUGAAAGAGUGCGUAAUAGCUCACUGGUCGAGUGACCCCGCGCCGAAAAUGUACCGGGGCUAAACAUAUUACCGAAACUGUGGAUGAACCUCUUUAGAGGUUCGUGGUAGGAGAGCGUUCUAAGGGCGGUGAAGUCAGACCGGAAGGACUGGUGGAGCGCUUAGAAGUGAGAAUGCCGGUAUGAGUAGCGAAAGAAGGGUGAGAAUCCCUUCCACCGAAUAUCUAAGGUUUCCUGAGGAAGGCUCGUCCGCUCAGGGUUAGUCGGGACCUAAGCCGAGGCCGAUAGGCGUAGGCGAUGGACAACAGGUAGAGAUUCCUGUACCAGUGCUAAUUGUUUAACCGAUGGGGUGACACAGAAGGAUAGGGAAUCGCACGAAUGGAAAUGUGCGUCCAAGCAGUGAGUGUGAGAAGUAGGCAAAUCCGCUUCUCGCGAAGCAUGAGCUGUGAUGGGGAAGG
rnacentral:rRNA from 1 species